UGAGGGAACAUUUACAUUGUCUGUAUCUUGAUGAACAAAAAAAUGUCCCUGAGCAGAACCUUUACUUCUAAUAAUGUAGAGCAGGAAAAUUCAGAAAUCUGUUAUAAUCGACGUGGAGAGAACGUGAUGUGGUGAUAUAGCUGCCCACAAUGGGAUAAACUUGAUGUUCCUUGCAGGUGCCUUUCAGGUGAAGAACGCCUAUGAAGUGCCCUCUUAGAUGCCCUUCCAAGUAAGGAAGGUGCCCUUGUGAUGAGAGAAAAAGAGAUGCAGUGCCCUACAAUGCAUGGUCAAGCUUCCUUUACAGUCUCCUCUACAACAUGCCGCCCAGGGCGGGCUUCUGCCAUCGUGACAAACUAAGGGUGCAGCCAAAUACUCUAAGAUUUUGAAUGUACCUCUCAAGUCCUGCUUACAUUCCAAGCACACUGUAUGAUAAGGUUGGGCUAAUAUCUAGCACGCUGAUGUAAUCUCAUCUGCACUGGCCCUGUUUUUUUUUCUUUUUCAAUGCACCCUUUAGGUGAGGUUAGAUUAUGUGAGCUGUAUUUGAUAGUAAAAGCAGAGCUGGUCCUGACCUCCCUGGGGCCCUAAGUAAAGUGCUACAGAGAGGCCCUCCCACCUGACCAAUGAGCCAUAUAAACCAUUUGCAAACGACAACGUCACACUUGACCCCCCAGUGUUCCCACGACUGUCCUCCCUUCUUUAAAAGGCUUUGCUUCAUCCGUCGCUCUAAGACUGAACAGACCUACAGAACAGAAUGAGGUACAAACUAACAAUAUAUAUGAAUCAAUCAAUAUUUAGACCUCUGCUGACAAGCACAGCACAGCACCUGGAAAAUUAUAGGUAUAUGUUAUUAUUCGUUUUAUCAGCCGCAUUGAGCCAUUCAACCGUAUUUCCUAGUUUCCUUGUCUUUCUGCUUAGUCCAUCAUUAAAACAUGUUUUACAUUACAGUAGCUCCAAUUUACGAGUUUGCCUUUUCUCCUGGUCACCUAAAGAGGUGGUGAUGUCUAUUACCAAUUUUUGUUAUUACUGGACUGGUGACCUGUCCAGGGUGAAUACUGCCUUCCGCCCGAUGACCGCUGGGAUAGGCUCCAGCACCCCCCCUGGACCCGGAGGGAGAAACGGCUUAGAAAAUGUGUGGGUGUGUGUAUUAUUAUUGGAGGAGCUGGAAUUAUAGAAGGUAAUUUGCUCUGGAAUUAUCACUUUGCAGACUUGUAAAAAUUACGGACAUGGAUUUAUGGACCUUCGUAUUGGAUUAAAAUCACCCACCUCAUAGAUGCUGACAGAUGUGAGAACAGCAUCAUGAAGACUGAUAGAAAAGCUGCUAUUAAACUGACAGAGGAGGUUAACAGUAGAGAGUGAAUGGGAAAACGUCCUUCCAGCCCUUGUUGAUGAGGGUCCGUCAUCAACAGACGCACCCUUUCUCAGGUUUCGGGGGCAGGACAGGCUUCAGGGAGCACAGCACACAGCGAGUGGAAGGGUUAGUUAACAAUAGCCCCCCGUAAAAGCAGAAGUAAGAGGCCAGCAGUGUCCCUGAGACUGAGUAUAGCACACCUGCACAGGAAGAGGCCCCACAUUUGCAUGCGUGUAUGUAAUUAGUUAUGAAACAGCUGUUUUCCAUGGUCUGGUUUUGAGCGGCAUUCCCCGGCCGGGUGACCGGGGUCCUCUCUGUGUGGAGUUUGCAUGUUCUCCCCGUGUCUGCGUGGGUUUCC